AGAGUACCGUGAGCACUGAUCGGAGAUCGGAGAUUUUUUGGGGGACUGACGGAACCGAACACGCCCACCACGUGGCAAAAGAGUACCGUGAGCACUGAUCGGAGAUCAGAUUUAUUUGGGACAGACGGAACUGAACACGCCCACCACGUGGCCUUCGAACAGACAGGCAAUCAUAGGAAUUAAUCCUACACAGUGCGAAGCUUGGCAGUGGCAAGAAGAAAGAAAGAAAACCUCUAAAAAAAUGACAGAUCAGGGUGGGUCGUCGCAGAGCACAAACAUUGAGUCUGCAGUUCGAGUGCUUAUGGACUGCAUAAGAACCGAAAAGGAAAGAUCUCACACACCUCAGCAGCACACCUCUGCUCAGCCUUCUGCUAGUGGGAAUACCAAUAUCAGACCUAGACCA